rnacentral:lncRNA from 1 species
GGACAUAUUCAGAGAAGCGACAUGGAAACCCGAGUUGGAAACAGUCAGCUGGGGAGGAGAGGGAGCAACUUAUUUGCUGAAUCUUUCCUGCUUUGUUUCUGCCUUUGGUCAAAGUCUUACCCUCAGGACAUCCAUAUCCCAGAAGGUUUUUUUGUUUGUUUGUUUAACCUGGCCAAUUCUCUAGGAAGCAUCCAGGGAAACCCAAGCUUUAUUGGCCAUAAGCCAGACACUGUGUAGGCAUAGGGGUCUCUUUCUGUCAGUUGGCACCAAGCAAAGGGUGCUUCAGUCUGCAGUGUUGGUAUCAGCAGUGGCUAUCAGAACUCUACAACUCUCGGAAUAGCUUCUGCUACAGCUGAUCUGGCCAAGAAACCAGGCAAGUGGCCAAGGCCUGAAGAGGCAUGGCUGAAUUGAUCUAGAGUGGCAGAGCAAGUCACCUUGGAAGAUAACUUUUUUGUUCAGAGAAGAAUCACUGGAAUGGUCCUUUUAAGAUCUGUGGGAAAAUCCUUAGGAAUUUCUACAUAAACUAUUGAUGGCAGUGGUGGCCCAUCUGGAGUGGCCACUGUGAAGAUGCCAGCUGCAAUAGGGAGGGCAUGACUGGGGCUGCACAUUCCAUGGAGCCAGCGGGAGCCAGGAACAGUCCUGCCCACGGCUGCCCACGGACCAAUCAGCACGCAGUUCCUCCCUUCUGAGACCAUAAAAAUCCCAGACACAGUCAGACUCACAGAGAUAACUGACUACCAGCUGUGAGAGGGAGCUACCCAAUUUGAGUCUCCUUAACCCAUCCGACCACGUGUUUGCAGAAAAAAGAGCUCUACCCACUCCGAGUCUCCUGUUUGCUGAGGGCUGCACUCCUCACGACAACCUGCCUGCAGAAAGGAGCUCUACCCACUCCGGGUCUCCUCUCUGCUGAGAGCUGGACACUCAUUGGGACGACCUGCCUACAGAUAGGUCAGGAUGACCUGCCUGCAGAUACCCACCCUGGGUCUCUUCUCCACCAAGGGCUGCGCUCAUCAGAAGGACCUGCCUGUGGAAAGAAACUACCCACUUCGGGUCUCUGAAGGGCUAUUCUAUCACUCACUGUCUCCCUUGCUUACUCUCCAGUUGUCUGCAUAUGUCAUUCUUUCUGGACAUGGGACAAAAACUUGGGACUCACUGAAUAGUGGGACUGAAAGAGCUGUAACACAAAGCAGGGCUGAAACCGCCACCCCGCCCCCCCCCCCCCACCUCCCCGUGACUGGUUACCACAUUGCAGGCAAUGAGAAAAAAAGGGCUGCUGCCCUUUAGGGGUCCCAGACCUAGGGGGUCCCCAAGCCAGGACUCUGACACCCUCUUUGGGGCUCUGCAGUUUCUGGCAUCUCCAAGCUUCUGGAUGUCACUGCAUUCCCCUUGUCCAGACAUGAGUGCCCACAGCAGAAGCUGCUUGCAGUGCAUCAGAUCCAGCCACAUGCAUGCAUGGAGCCGGCACCUUUGCCGGUGCCUGGAGCUACCUGCCCCGCCAUAGCAGCCUUCAUGCCUGGCUGUGCACAGUGGCUGGACCCUGCGCUCACUUGCACAUGCACCCCUCACCAUUCCAUUCCUGGUUUGCCCUUGGCAGGUGUCGAAUUUGGGCCCAUAACACAAGCCAAGUGCAGCCUGCCAGGCCAAGUAGAUGGAACAAGCCCAGCAGGCCUGAGCAAAACUCGGACAAAGAUGCCAACGGCCACAGAGGUUUCUGGCUAGAAAAGCAACACCUUAAGGAUCCCAAGACUAUCAUGUUAUCUGCCAAUAAAGACAGUUUUCCUUCUUUUCA